GGAACAUGCUCGCGAAACGUACACACUAGAGGAUGUGAGAGGUAUGUGGAACUCACGGUGUAGGGGUGAAAUCCGUUGAUAUCGUGGGGAACACCGAAGGCGAAGGCAACAUACUGGCGCAUUCCUGACGCUGAGGGACGAAAGUGUGGGUAGCGAAGAGGAUUAGAUACCCUCGUAGUCCACACUGUAAACGCUGAACACUAGUCAUGUGGAGUAUCGACCCUCCACGUGACGAAGCUAACGCAUUAAGUGUUCCGCCUGGGAAGUACGAGCGCAAGCUUAAAACUCAAAGGAAUAGACGGGGACUCGCACAAGCGGUGGAGCGUCUGGUUUAAUUCGACGAUAAGCGAGGAACCUCACCUAGGCUUGACAUUCUGUUGACCGCCUCUAGAAACAGAGGCUUUCUAUUAAGACAGCAGAACAGGUGCUGCAAGGUUGCCGUCAGCUCGUGUCUUGAGAUGUUCCGUUAAGUCGGGUAACGAGCGCAACCCUCGUCCUAUGUUACAAGUGUCAUAGGAGACUGCCUUGGCAACAGGGAGGAAGGUGGGGAUGACGUCAAAUCAGCAUGGCCCUUUGAUGCCUAGGGCGACACAGGCGCUACAAUGGCCAGUACAACGGGUAGCCAAACCGCGAGGUGGAGCUAAUCCUAUCAAAACUGGUCUCAGUUCGGAUUGGAGUCUGCAACUCGACUCCAUGAAGUCGGAAUCGCUAGUAAUCGCAUAUCAGCCAUGGUGCGGUGAAUACGUUCUCGAGUCUUGUACUCACCGCCCGU
rnacentral:rRNA from 1 species